AACGAACGCUGGCGGCAGGCCUAACACAUGCAAGUCGAACGCUCCGCAAGGGGAGUGGCGCACGGGUGAGUAACACGUGGGAACCUACCUUCUGGUACGGAACAACCAAGGGAAACUUUGGCUAAGACCGUAUACGACCUCCGGGUGAAAGAUUGAUCGCCGGAAGAGGGGCCCGCGUCCGAUUAGGUAGUUGGUGAGGUAACGGCUCACCAAGCCUUCGAUCGGUAGCUGGUCUGAGAGGAUGACCAGCCACACUGGGACUGAGACACGGCCCAGACUCCUACGGGAGGCAGCAGUGGGGAAUAUUGGACAAUGGGCGCAAGCCUGAUCCAGCCAUGCCGCGUGAGUGAUGAAGGCCUGGUUGUAAG
rnacentral:rRNA from 1 species